rnacentral:rRNA from 1 species
AGCGAACGCUGGCGGCAGGCUUAACACAUGCAAGUCGAGCGGGCAUAGCAAUAUGUCAGCGGCAGACGGGUGAGUAACGCGUGGGAACGUACCUUUUGGUUCGGAACAACACAGGGAAACUUGUGCUAAUACCGGAUAAGCCCUUACGGGGAAAGAUUUAUCGCCGAAAGAUCGGCCCGCGUCUGAUUAGCUAGUUGGUGAGGUAAUGGCUCACCAAGGCGACGAUCAGUAGCUGGGCUGAGAGGAUGAUCAGCCACAUUGGGACUGAGACACGGCCCAAACUCCUACGGGAGGCAGCAGUGGGGAAUAUUGGACAAUGGGCGCAAGCGUGAUCCAGCCAUGUCGCGUGAGUGAUGAAGGCCCUAGGGUUGUAAAGUUCUUUUUUGCGGGAAGAUAAUGACGGUACCCCCAAGAAUAAGCCCCGGGUUAACUUCUUGCCAGCAGCCGCGGUAAAUACGAAGGGGGGCUAGCGUUUCUCGGAAAUCCCUGGGGGGAAAGGGGGGCGAAGGGGGGGUCUUUUAAGCCAGGGGGGGAAAACCCGGGGGCCCAACUCCCGAACUGCCUUUUGUUACUGAAGAUCUUGAGUUCGGGAAGAGAGGAAGUGGAACUUCCAAGUUUAGAGGUGAAAUUCUUAGAUAUUCGCAAGAAACACCCAGUGGGCGAAGGGGGUUCUCUGGCCCCAAUACUGACGCUGAGGGCACAAAAGCGUGGGGAGCACACAGAUUUAGAUACCCUGGAGUCCAAGGGGCGAAUUCUCACAUUUGGCUGCAGCCCGGGGGACCCCUAAGUUCUAGAGGGGGCGCCCGCGGGGGCUCCAUUCAGCCCCUUGAGGGGGAAAUUUGGCGUGCUCUAUGUAAAGCAUUUUAAAACGUCGGGAUUGGGAAACCCCUGGCGUACCCAAAUUAAUCGCCUUUCAGCACUUCCCCUUUCGCCAGGUGGCUAAUAGCGAAGAGCCCCCCACCGAUUAAAUUUGGGCAUACUGUUUCCGGG